rnacentral:lncRNA from 1 species
UCUUUCUCUGCCUCGAGCACUCCGUAAAACCAUCCAUCCAUUUGGUUAGUCAUCUAAUUUUUUUUUAUAAUUUCCUUCUAAUAUGACUGUAACUUAUCUUUUAUUUUAUACACAGCCACCACUCCAAGCAGAGAUUCUCCAACCGAGAUUGAGUCUCCACCAGACACUAUUUCUGAUGCCCCGCCUUCUUCCUCGGUAAAAUAUCAUUUCUCCACUCAUCUUAAUCAUAAUUUUUUUUUUUGUUCAUCAUUUGUUUGUUUCCAUUUUCAGUCGAUUCCUGCUUCUCCAUCGGUCUCAGCUUCAGACAAAAGACCGAUUGAAGUUGUUCAAGUCACUUCCCCGCCGUCUUCCAAACGGCGUAAGUCAGU